rnacentral:rRNA from 1 species
AUUGAACGCUGGCGGCAGGCCUAACACAUGCAAGUCGAACGGUAACAGGAAGAAGCUUGCUUCUUUGCUGACGAGUGGCGGACGGGUGAGUAAUGUCUGGGAAACUGCCUGAUGGAGGGGGAUAACUACUGGAAACGGUAGCUAAUACCGCAUAACGUCGCAAGACCAAAGAGGGGGACCUUCGGGCCUCUUGCCAUCGGAUGUGCCCAGCUGGGAUUAGCUAGUAGGUGGGGUAACGGCUCACCUAGGCGACGAUCCCUAGCUGGUCUGAGGGGAUGACCAGCCACACUGGAACUGAGACACGGUCCAGACUCCUACGGGAGGCAGCAGUGGGGAAUAUUGCACAAUGGGCGCAAGCCUGAUGCAGCCAUGCCGCGUGUAUGAAGAAGGCCUUCGGGUUGUAAAGUACUUUCAGCGGGGAGGAAGGGAGUAAAGUUAAUACCUUUACUCAUUGACGUUACCCGCAGAAGAAGCACCGGCUAACUCCGUG